GAGAUACAAGCUCCUCGUCGUUCAGGCCUGAAGUAACGGUAGUUGAAAGAAACUACUUCGGGGAAAGAUUUGUGGCUGGCUGGAGGCUAGCAGCCUGACUGGAAGUGGGCCUGGCAUGGAGGUAUUCAUGGGUCUGAUCAGCCCCUAGCACUCCAGGUCAGAAGACACACAGACCUGAGUGGAAGUGUACUGGC
rnacentral:lncRNA from 1 species